UACGUAGGGUGCGAGCGUUGUCCGGAAUUAUUGGGCGUAAAGGGCUCGUAGGCGGUUUGUCACGUCGGGAGUGAAAACUCAGGGCUCAACCCUGAGCCUGCUUCCGAUACGGGCAGACUAGAGGUAUGCAGGGGAGAACGAAUUCCUGGUGUAGCGGUGAAAUGCGCAGAUAUCAGGAGGAACACCGGUGCGGAAGGCGGAUCUCUGGGCCUAACUACUCGCUGAGGAGCGAAAGCGUGGGGAGCGAACAGG
rnacentral:rRNA from 1 species